UGCUGGCUGGCUUUUUCCUCCUUUU
rnacentral:piRNA from 1 species